GGGAGGUUCAGCAAAGUGGGUACACUUGAAUGAAGGGGGAUCCUUUUAGUUAUUUUACAGAAAUCUCUGAUCAUUACAUAAUGAUUUAACAAAACUACCCUUCAAGAAACUAACAAGGAUCUGAUCAACUUGUUGAUUGAAGAAUUUAACACAGUAAAGGAUAUAUAUAUUGUAUACAUACAUAAUGACCCAAGGACAAUAUUAAUGAUAAAUCAUACUUUACAAUCAG
rnacentral:lncRNA from 1 species